rnacentral:piRNA from 1 species
AGAAGUUAAAUGGAUGCUGCAUAACCAGGGU